AGUCGUUCUCAAGGAAGGCAAGUAGUAAUCUUCACAAAAAAAAGACAGAUAAAAUGCAGCAUAGGUCGCUAUGAACCACUGAUAAAAGUGCAGCAUAAAUUGUUGCGAACCACUGAUAAUAGCAUAAGGUAGUUUUGAACCACAAGUAACAACAUAAGAUUGUUGGGAACCACAUAACACAGCAUAAGGUUGCUGGGAACCACAAAUAAGAAUCUUGACGCUGAAAACCACAAGUAACCGUCUUCAAAGAAAAUAUGUUGUUGGUGACUAAAGCAGAUAACACGAACAAAUAAUAAGAAUAAUAAUCUUUAAAUAUCAGAUGAUAACUCCAAUCUCCCCAUUACAUGUAGCACUACAUGUGGACAAAUAAUGAAGGGGAAAAACCAAAGCAUAACCCAUCAUAAUAUGGCAGCAAUAACCAGCAUGGCCAAAAAACAAUAAAUCCCAUAAUCAAGAGCAGCCACAAUAGCAUCAAUAGCAGCAAUGGAUCAGAUCAAAGUAGAUAAAGAACUCCAAUGCAGGACACAAACAGGGCAAAAUAGUAAUAAAUUAAUAACCCAAAAC